AGCGGCGUGAUGAUGCCCUCGAACGGCAGCGUCAGGCCGAACACGAACAGGAGUAGCAGCCAGCGUGCCCCGGGGAUGCGCAGCAGGCCGAUGGCGAACCCGGCCAUCGUGGACAGGACGAGCGAUACCGGCACGACCGCAACGACGAUGAGCACGCUCGAGAACAGGAGUGCGCCCAUGUUGGCGACCUGGAAC
rnacentral:misc_RNA from 1 species